AGUUGGUGAGGUAACGGCUCACCAAGUCAAUGAUCUUUAGGGGGCCUGAGAGGGUGAUCCCCCACAAUGGUACUGAGACAGGGACCAGAUUCUUACGGGAGGCAGCAGUGAGGAAUAUUGGACAAUGGGUGAGAGCCUGAUCCAGCCAUCCCGCGUGAAGGACGACUGCCCUAUGGGUUGUAAACUUCUUUUAUACUGGGAUAAACCUACCCUUCGUGAGGGUAGCUGAAGGUACAGUAUGAAUAAGCACCGGCUAACUCCGUGCCAGCAGCCGCGGUAAUACGGAGGGUGCAAGCGUUAUCCGGAUUUAUUGGGUUUAAAGGGUCCGUAGGCGGACUCGUAAGUCAGUGGUGAAAUCUCAUAGCUUAACUAUGAAACUGCCAUUGAUACUGCGGGUCUUGAGUAAAGUAGAAGUGGCUGGAAUAAGUAGUGUAGCGGUGAAAUGCAUAGAUAUUACUUAGAACACCAAUUGCGAAGGCAGGUCACUAUGUUUUAACUGACGCUGAUGGACGAAAGCGUGGGGAGCGAACAGGAUUAGAUACCCUGGUAGUCCACGCCGUAAACGAUGCUAACUCGUUUUUGGGUUUUCGGAUUCAGAGACUAAGCGAAAGUGAUAAGUUAGCCACCUGGGGAGUACGUUCGCAAGAAUGAAACUCAAAGGAAUUGACGGGGGCCCGCACAAGCGGUGGAUUAUGUGGUUUAAUUCGAUGAUACGCGAGGAACCUUACCAAGGCUUAAAUGGGAAUUGACAGGUUUAGAAAUAGAUCCUUCUUCGGACAAUUUUCAAGGUGCUGCAUGGUUGUCGUCAGCUCGUGCCGUGAGGUGUUAGGUUAAGUCCUGCAACGAGCGCAACCCCUGUCACUAGUUGCCAUCAUUCAGUUGGGGACUCUAGUGAGACUGCCUACGCAAGUAGAGAGGAAGGUGGGGAUGACGUCAAAUCAUCACGGCCCUUACGCCUUGGGCCACACACGUAAUACAAUGGCCGGUACAGAGGGCAGCUACUAUGCGAAUAGAUGCGAAUCUCGAAAGCCGGUCUCAGUUCGGAUUGGAGU
rnacentral:rRNA from 1 species